UUGGGUUUUUAACUUAGGUUUGGGUGGCGGACGGGUGAGUAACGCGUAAAGAACUUGCCUCACAGCUAGGGACAACAUUUGGAAACGAAUGCUAAUACCUAAUAUUAUGAUAAUAGGGCAUCCUAUAAUUAUGAAAGCUAUAAGCGCUGUGAGAGAGCUUUGCGUCCCAUUAGCUAGUUGGAGAGGUAACGGCUCACCAAGGCGAUGAUGGGUAGCCGGCCUGAGAGGGUGAUCGGCCACAAGGGGACUGAGACACGGCCCUUACUCCUACGGGAGGCAGCAGUGGGGAAUAUUGGACAAUGGACCAAGAGUCUGAUCCAGCAAUUCUGUGUGCACGAUGAAGUUUUUCGGAAUGUAAAGUGCUUUCAGUUGGGAAGAAAGAAAUGACGGUACCAACAGAAGAAGUGACGGCUAAAUACGUGCCAGCAGCCGCGGUAAUACGUAUGUCACGAGCGUUAUCCGGAUUUAUUGGGCGUAAAGCGCGUCUAGGUGGUUAUAUAAGUCUGAUGUGAAAAUGCAGGGCUCAACUCUGUAUUGCGUUGGAAACUGUAUAACUAGAGUACUGGAGAGGUAAGCGGAACUACAAGUGUAGAGGUGAAAUUCGUAGAUAUUUGUAGGAAUGCCGAUGGGGAAGCCAGCUUACUGGACAGAUACUGACGCUGAAGCGCGAAAGCGUGGGUAGCAAACAGGAUUAGAUACCCUGGUAGUCCACGCCGUAAACGAUGAUUACUAGGUGUUG
rnacentral:rRNA from 1 species